GUUCCAAAUUCGGCUUCCUGCUGGAAGUUGGGGUCGUGAAAGCGAAUGUGGGACCCCAGGUUCUGAAACCAGAGCAGGCGGGGCUGUUUGACCAAGAGGAAGCUAGCCUCGUGCUCUAGGUGACCGAGUCCUCAAUGGCAACCCUGAGUGUGUGUGAGAAAGAUCAUGGGGAGAUGACGUGUGCUGCUGGGUCCGGGGGGAGUUGAACGGCAGAGAAACUGCGAGAGGACAGGACUACAUUUCCCAGAAGCAAUCACACCCGUGGAUGUUGCCGGUCCUAAGAUGGCAAGGGGGCUUCGUUUGCAUAGCCGAGGAAGAGCAGCAGUAUGUAGGUCUCGACAUUGGUCAUCUUAAUGUGACCUAAAAUUCCUGAGGCUCUCGUGAACAGUUGUUAGCGUUGUGUGAGAGAUGAUCUCUGCCGACGAACGUAAUGGAGUUUAAAGCCAGAGCCUGUAAAUUGAGUGUUGUGAUCUAGUCUUUUGUUAAAGACUAUACAGAGUUGGACUACAUUUCCCAGAGUGCACUGUGAACAAGCUACUUCCGUGAGUUCCAACCCAUUUGGCUUCAGGCCUGAAUCCCUUGGACCGUCCAGGAUGUGUGGAGUAUAGCGAGUGUCAUUUUAAGGACUGGAAUCAGAAUGGCCAUGGCAACCGAGUUUGGGGGUGAAGGACUUUCCUACGGAGCGUGGAGUUCUGAAGAGGAUGUGGUGGCGUUUCGGGCUGACAGAGUUGGGGAGUUGGCUUCAUAAAGAUCGGAACCAAGAAGAGAACUAGUCAACAUCCAGGAGUUUUAAAUCAUGGCCCACG